AGUGAACGCUGGCGGUAGGCCUAACACAUGCAAGUCGAACGGCAGCACAGUAAGAGCUUGCUCUUACGGGUGGCGAGUGGCGGACGGGUGAGGAAUACAUCGGAAUCUACUUUUUCGUGGGGGAUAACGUAGGGAAACUUACGCUAAUACCGCAUACGACCUACGGGUGAAAGCAGGGGAUCUUCGGACCUUGCGCGAUUGAAUGAGCCGAUGUCGGAUUAGCUAGUUGGCGGGGUAAAGGCCCACCAAGGCGACGAUCCGUAGCUGGUCUGAGAGGAUGAUCAGCCACACUGGAACUGAGACACGGUACAGACUCCUACGAGAGGCAGCAGUGGAGAAUAUUGGACAAUGGGCGCACGCCUGAUCCAGCCAUACCGCGUGGGUGAAGAAGGCCUUCGGGUUGUAAAGCCCUUUUGUUGGGAAAGAAAAGCAGCAGGUUAAUACCCCGCUGUUCUGACGGUACCCAAAGAAUAAGCACCGGCUAACUUCG
rnacentral:rRNA from 1 species